CCUUUGUUUCCUGCGUACCUGUUGCUGUGAGAUAGUUGGAGCUAAUGUCUCAUUUUUUAAUCUCUAUCCGGUGCUUACCAGAGUACCUGGCUCCUAAUAGCUGCUUAAUGAAAGCGGGCUUAAUAAAUAGUUGUCACUUUAGUUUGUUGAAUGAAUGAGUGGACAUAGCAAUAUAAUACAUCUGCAGGUUAUUGAGCUGAAUAAAUAAUGUGUAUAGAAAUUCUGACACGAUGCCUAACAUUAUGGGCAUUUCACAACUGUCAACUGUUGCUUUUACCAUCAUCAAAAUAGAUUAGCAAAGAGGCUGAGAAAUGAACAAAUGUGGGAGCAUGAGUUAUGAAAACUGUUAUCAGCUAAACAGGGGAGGUGUCUGAGUUCAGUGAUGAUGGAGUUGAGGACGAUGAAUUCCCAGGGACCAGAUGGGCAGCCACGAUGGGAGACUUGGGAGCAGAAGCCCCUCAUAUGCUGCUUGCAGGGUUGGGGAUCAUUUGCAGGACUGAGCCAGCAGAAAUUGUAGGUGUGAGAUGGGAGCCAGUGGAGGAAUGGGAAGCAGAUGAGCCUAGGGAUUGAGACAAUGCUUUGCUACCAAGUCAGUUUUCCUGGGUCAUUCAGGCAUACAUCUAAGCCCGCGAUUUUCAAUAUGGGGCACAAGAGAACUUUGAGGAAGUGGCGGAUAUCCCACUUUUGGAAGUUGUCCCAAAUCACUGCAAUUUUGUCAUGAUUCCUCCCAGUCAGCAUCUCCUUUCAGCUGCCUUAGAUGUUUAGGGAAGAAACCAUGCACUUAAUUAUUUUAGUCUUGGCAAGACAAGCAAGCAAAGACUUAUAUGCUUCCUUGGGACCCCUGGAGCAGCAGGAAGUAGAAGGACAGGAUUUGAGGCUUGCCCUCUGCUUUUCUAUUAACUGAGAUUUGACAUAAAAAUGCACAUGUGCAUAUUUUUAACGUUUGGUUUUGGAAAAUGGAAAAUGGUCUUUGGAACAUCACUGCAAGUUUUCAAAAAGAAUACCAGUUCUUCCUUUUUUUUUUUUUUUUAAACCCAAAGUUAAAGAGAUGAUACUUUUUCCUAUGAUGGGUAUGGCAAUAUACCAUCUCAGAACGUUUUUUAUUUGAGGCAAAGAGAAGGCAUUACAUCUACUUUGGGUUUUUUAAAACAUAAAGUGUAAAAAGAAGUGACUUCCUUUGAGGUUAUGUGAGUUCUCUGGGUUGUUAAGAUUGCUCCUAGCUCAGUAGAAUCUGCUGUGUGUAAGGUACCACAGGCAAAAUAUGACUCAUAUACUUUAUGCUGAUCAUGAAAAGCCAGUUGACCAGUCACUAUUCUGAACUUUAUUUAAAUAGAGGGCUAGAGGGAUUUAAAAAAUAGAUGGUGUGUCAAAUAAGCAGAUAGGACCAUGAUUCUGGACUCAUUAACAGUAGAAUUGGGGUCUUGUUCAACUCUCUCAGUUUUAUAAUUUAGGCAAAUCAGUGAGCAUCACUGAAUCUUUUUAGAUUUUUUUUUUUUGCUUCAGUUAGACCUCUAGCCUGGGAACCUCCAUAUGCCCUGGGUGCAGCCCUAGAAAAGACAAAAACC
rnacentral:lncRNA from 1 species